rnacentral:rRNA from 1 species
CUUUAGGGUUCACGCCCAGAAGAGCCGCAGUGAAUAGGCCCAAGCGACUGUUUAUCAAAAACACAGGUCUCUGCUAAACCGUAAGGUGAUGUAUAGGGGCUGACGCCUGCCCGGUGCUGGAAGGUUAAGAGGAGUGGUUAGCUUCUGCGAAGCUACGAAUCGAAGCCCCAGUAAACGGCGGCCGUAACUAUAACGGUCCUAAGGUAGCGAAAUUCCUUGUCGGGUAAGUUCCGACCCGCACGAAAGGCGUAACGAUUUGGGCACUGUCUCAACGAGAGACUCGGUGAAAUCAUAGUACCUGUGAAGAUGCAGGUUACCCGCGACAGGACGGAAAGACCCCGUGGAGCUUUACUGUAGCCUGAUAUUGAAAUUCGGCACAGCUUGUACAGGAUAGGUAGGAGCCAUUGAAACGUGAGCGCUAGCUUACGUGGAGGCGUUGGUGGGAUACUACCCUAGCUGUGUUGGCUUUCUAACCCGCACCACUUAUCGUGGUGGGAGACAGUGUCAGGCGGGCAGUUUGAC